AAGAAGAAAGGAAGAAAAGGAAGAACAAAACCUUAGGUGGAAAAAUUCAAGGGAAAAGUGUGAAAAUUCAAGGAAACAAGUGAAAAAAAGGUAAGAUUUUUCAAUUAAGCUUAAGAUCUCUCUUUCUUAAGCAUUUUUUCUUAUUUUCCAUGGUUGAAUCACAUGAUUUCAUGAUGAAUCCCAUGUUGGCCGAACACUUAGAGGGAGGUUUUGAUGCUUGAUUUGGUUAGAUUUCAAUGUAUUUUAAUGUUUUUAGUUAGUUAGUUAUGUGUAGUAUGAAAAGCCAACAAGAAAAAUUCACUUCCUCCCAUCACCCAUCAUUGGCCGAAUUCUCCAUGUAAAAUAUUGAUGAUGAUUUUGAUUUUAUUUCAAGUGAUUUGGUUAGGAAUUAGUGAUUUAUGGUGUGAUAAUCAAGCUUGAAAAAUUAUAGUGUUAAUGCACCCACUAUGGCCGAAUUUUCCAAGAGAUAAUGUGCGCAUGAUUUUGCCAUAUUUCAAGUUAUUUAAUUUGUGUUUGAUGAUUUGGAGUAUUGGAAGAAAAAUGGAAUUAAUUGGAGUUGAAUUGGACAUAUUAGCUAAUUAAUCGAGUGAUAGAUAAAAUUAGGCGAAUAUCGUUUUAUUUAGGUACACAAUUGAAUUUGUGUGGAACACCGUGUUUAGACGAUAAUCCGAACAAUUUACAUCCCAUUUCAUGCAUUAGUAUAGAGCCUGAAUUGGUUUUAUAACAAUUUAGCACAAAUGUAGUAAAUGGCUUAUUGUGCAUUAUGUCUAGGUGGUGAGCAUUCUGGCAAAAGUAAAGAGAUAGUACCCGAAAAUCAAGAAUCGGAGUACUCAGAAUUCGACUCCCGAAAUAGUGAGUAACCUUACUAUCAUCUUGAUUAUCUAAAGUGAUUUUUAUCCGAUUUUGUGAUUUUAUGAAAAAUGUGUUAAAUGGUAAAUCUUUUGUGUUUUGUAAUUAAAAUGUGAUUUAAUGAAAUGAUUUUAUAACAUUGUCUUGAAAUGAAAUGAUGGUUUGAAAAUAGAGUAAUUGGAGACUGUUUUCAUGUGUUGUAAAUUCAUGGUUUGAAUCGAAUGGCUUAUGACAAUAUUUGCAUGAAUGGUUGAAUUGGUAUUUGUGUUGAAAUAUAUGAACUGUGUAUUUUGCCUUGGGAGGCUGGAUUGUGAUAUAAUUGCCAUGUCAUGCGGUUGAGAUUUUAUUGAAUUGGUGGGUUUAGCUUGCUGUAGUGGGUGGGUUUCGUGGACCAGCCUAUUAGAGGGGCAUGGUAACCCCGUUAUACUCUUACCUCGGUCUGAAAGGCGUGUAAGGUAACUCCCGAGGUACAACUUUAGAGUUCACUUUACGCCAAACCACCACGUGAGGGUGAACUCAGCCAACGCCAAGGAACGACUAUGUUUUCAAAAUAAAAACAUGAUUUAUGCAUACAUGACUUUUUAACUGCCUUGGUGGACUCGGUUGGGAUAGCCCCAGGCCAAGGUAUCCCUAAUAACUAAGUAUGAUAAUGAUUUUCGCACGAGCCAAAGUUUUAAGAAAUUCAUAAGCCAUGUUGAAUACUCAAUUUAUAUGAAUUGAUUUUAUUUAGUUGAAAUGAGUUGAAAGGUGAUGAAUUACAGUAUGAUAAUCUAUUUUAAUCUGUCUCCAUUUACUCAACUUUAGAUAUUUUAGAUGGUGUUUGUUUACUCACUGGGAUUAUAUAAUCUCACCACCCUCAUUUUCACCCAUUUUAGGCUCAAGAUAGUCGGUAAAUAGCUCAUUUCGUUAAGGGCUACAGUUGGACUUACAUCCUCAAAAACUGUAGGUUUACCGCUUUUGAUACUUUUGAUCGUUCGUGGGCCCACAUGUCACUGUAAAUUAAAUCUUAUGCUUUGGUUAUCUGUAUUACAGUAUGUAUGAAUUUAUUUAGCUUUUACGCUACAAAAAUUAUUUACCAG
rnacentral:lncRNA from 1 species